UUGACCUCGGAUCAGGCAGGGAUACCCGCUGAACUUAAGCAUAUCAAUAAGCGGAGGAAAAGAAACCAACAGGGAUUGCCUCAGUAACGGCGAGUGAAGCGGCAACAGCUCAAAUUUGAAAUCUGGCUCUUUUAGGGUCCGAGUUGUAAUUUGUAGAGGAUGCUUCGGCGUCGGCUCCGGUCUAAGUUCCUUGGAACAGGACGUCAUAGAGGGUGAGAAUCCCGUAUGUGAUCGGUUGCCCUUGCCAUGUGAAGCUCCUUCGACGAGUCGAGUUGUUUGGGAAUGCAGCUCUAAAUGGGAGGUAAAUUUCUUCUAAAGCUAAAUACUGGCCAGAGACCGAUAGCGCACAAGUAGAGUGAUCGAAAGAUGAAAAGCACUUUGGAAAGAGAGUCAAAAAGUACGUGAAAUUGUUGAAAGGGAAGCGCUUGCACCAGACCUGCCUGCAGUUGCUCAUCCGGGCUUUUGCCCGGUGCACU
rnacentral:rRNA from 1 species